rnacentral:rRNA from 1 species
GUGGGGGAUCUUGCGCUAAUGCGCGAAAGCGUGACGCAGCGACGCCGCGUGGGGGAUGAAGGCCCUCGGGUUGUAAACCCCUUUCGGCAGGGACGAAGGGAAACUGACGGUACCUGCAGAAGAAGUCCCGGCUAACUACGUGCCAGCAGCCGCGGUAACACGUAGGGGACGAGCGUUGUCCGGAUUCAUUGGGCGUAAAGCGCGCGUAGGCGGCUCGGAAAGUCGGGCGUGAAAUGCCGGGGCUCAACCCCGGGACUGCGUCCGAUACUUCCGAGCUGGAGGUAGGUAGGGGAGAUCGGAAUUCCUGGUGUAGCGGUGAAAUGCGCAGAUAUCAGGAGGAACACCGGUGGCGAAGGCGGAUCUCUGGGCCUUACCUGACGCUGAGGCGCGAAAGCUAGGGGAGCGAACAGGAUUAGAUACCCGAGUAGUCC